GUCCGGGCUGGGGUAGUGGCAUCCUUUAGCCUUGUGGUGGCUAAGAGGCGGGUUCAAUUCCCGCGCCCGGACUC
rnacentral:tRNA from 1 species